rnacentral:rRNA from 1 species
UGGGGAAUCUUGGGCAAUGGGGGAAACCCUGACCCAGCGACGCCGUGUGGGGGACGAAGGCCUUCGGGUUGUAAACCCCUGUUAGGUGGGACGAAUGCCUCCCCGUAAAUAGCGAGGAGGCUUGACGGUACCACCAGAGAAAGCCCCGGCUAACUCCGUGCCAGCAGCCGCGGUAAUACGGAGGGGGCUAGUGUUGUUCGGAAUUACUGGGCGUAAAGGGCGCGCAGGCGGCUUGGCAAGUCGAGUGUGAAAUCCCUUGGCUUAACUAAGGAAUGGCGCUCGAAACUACCUCGCUAGAGGGCGAGAGAGGGAAGUGGAACUCUCGGUGUAGGGGUGAAAUCUGUAGAUAUCGAGAGGAACACCGGUGGCGAAGGCGGCUUCCUGGCUCGCAUCUGACGCUGAGGCGCGAAAGCGUGGGGAGCAAACAG